rnacentral:tRNA from 1 species
AUUCUAUUGAUUCGAGCAUCCAUGGCUGAAUGGUUAAAGCACCCAACUCAUAAUUGGCGAACUCACAGGUUCAAUUCCUGUUGGAUGCA